rnacentral:sRNA from 1 species
UUUAUGAUAUAAUAAGAAGUAGAGAAGUUGGAAGAUGGUGGCUAAAUCUCAAUAAAAAGAGGUGAUGCCUAUGUUUGAUUUGGCUUAUCCUGAAAGGAGACAGCAUGUCAAUAUUUGAAGCGAUAACGCUUAUGAUCGCCUUUGCGACAUUAAUGCUACGCAUCAUUGA